rnacentral:rRNA from 1 species
AAUCAACGCUGGCGGCGUGCCUCAGACAUGCAAGUCGAACGCGAAAGUCCCCUUCGGGGGAUUAGUAGAGUGGCGUCCGGGUGAGUAACACGUAGGUAAUCUACCUUUGGGUGGGGAAUAACCCCGAGAAAUCGGGGCUAAUACCGCAUAAUGCAGCGGCAUCACAUGAUGACAGUUGUUAACGCGGGGGAUCGCAAGACCUCGCGCCUAAAGAGGAGCCUGCGGCGGAUUAGCAGUUGGUAGGGUAAUGGCCUACCAAGGCAACGAUCCGUAGCCGGCCUGAGAGGGCGGUCGGCCACACUGACACUGAAAUACGGGUCAGACUCCUACGGGAGGCAGCAGUCGGGAAUUUUGGGCAAUGGGCGAAAGCCUGACCCAGCAACGCCGCGUGAAGGAU